AAGUCUAGGGCAGAGCCUGAAGAGAAAAGGUCUCACUUUUCGGGGCUGCCCUCGCUGCGCACAUGCGCAGUGGGACGCGAUCUGACCACGUUGGGCAAAGUCUGCGGACUGGUGGGAGUGAAUGAUAAUUUUACAGGUGGUGAAUACGCCAAGUUCGUGACUUACGCCUAAAAAACUCUAGAUAUAAACAUUUGCUAAAUGAAUGAAUGGCAGUGUUUUCUGGAGCAAACAUAUCCUCUUAAUGAGAGCAAACACUUGGCAUGAAGGAACGCUGCUCCCUGGACAAGCAAGGCUGGCCGUAAAAUGACCCCUCGACUCCACCCACCCUGUAUAGACUUAGGCUGAUUACGGAAGCGACCAUGUCUUAUUUUACCUGGUGCCAGGCAAGCAGAAUGUCUUAUAUUUUACCACCCCAGUUCUGGAGUGUGGGUGAAGUGAUUCAAACCUCAAGACAUUUCUUAGGAGCCAAAAGCCUGGACAAGAUUUUCCUGCAGCCUAGAAUGUGAAGGAUUCCUGAAGAAGACACCUCUACGAGAAAUCCCAGCAAUGAAGCUGUCUGAUACAAAAGGAGUCUACAGAAGUCUGCAAGAGAGGAGGCUGAAGGCAUCAUCAGGAUCCACCAGAUGUGAAAGACUUUGGAGAAAUGGGGUAGUGUUUUGAUUGUUACUUAGUUUUUGGCCAAAGGCAGACUGCCUGCCUUUCUGGCUCAAUUGUCAAUGCGCAGGUGGCAUUGGGGAAUGCCCCCAAAGGCCAAUCACCAAAACUGUAUCCCUGAACUUUCCACCAUUAGGGGAUGGAGUCCAAUCCCAUAUAGCAUUACUCAUUUGUCCGUAUGUUUGGUCAGUCUUAACCAAAAGGGGUGUGUGUCAACAUGUAAAUAUAGAGAUCCCCAGUUUAUUUAGUUUGAGUGUAGAAACCCCAGCUUUUGACCUUGUCACAGGAGGUUUCCCCCUGAGGGAAGGUCCCUCUUCACCAGACUGUGAACUUCCUGGUAGUUUGGGUGGGAACAGCUAAUCCCACCCAAUAUUAAGCAUCCCUUUUGUCCCAAUGGUUUCUCCCCCUAGGCUACAAGGUCCAUUACCAAGGUGGCCCAGCCCUGGGCUUGGUCUUUCCCUUUUGUGUCCAUUGUAGGGCAUCAGCCCCUCACUGUUAUUCCUCUCUGGAACUCCUCAUUUUCCUUUCUUACCAUUGUAAAGUCAAUCAACUGUCCCUCUCACUCCAAGCCCCCAAGUCAACUAGAGUGGUAUAUAGGUUCCCCAAGUUCUUUUGUUCCUCUGAGUCCAUCCCGAGUCCUUGGCACUCCCAGGGGCUAGUGACCAGGGCGUCUUGACUCUGCAGUCUUGGGAAGCAGCUCUGUUGUUGUAUUAGUAGCACUCUAACCCCUUUUUCCCUUGAUUAAAGAGUGAUUUUGACUAUUUAAUAGUUCUGUGUUUUUUCUAGUUGACAGGACAAAAGGGAUUAGCUGCUCCCACCCAAACUACCAGGAUGUCCAGUGAGGUGGGACCUUCCCUCAGGGGGAAACCUCCUGUGACAAGGUCACAACCUGGGGUGUAUACCCUUAAACUAAGUAAACUGGGGAUUUCUAGAUUUCCAUGUUGACAAAGCUUAAAAAGACUGUGAUCCCCAGUUUAUUUAGUUUGGAGGUAGAAACCCCAUGUUUGACCUUGUCAAGUGAUAGUUCCUCCCUGAGGUCAAGUCCUACUUCACAAAUCUCAGACUAACAAUGGACUUUUAAGAUGUUAAGUAUCUCUUUUGUCCAAAUGGUUUCUCCACCUUAGGCUAAAGUCCUUUACCUAGGGGCCCAGCCCUGGGCAGGAUCUUUCCCUUUUGUGUCCGUUGUGGGGUCUCAGCCCCUCAUUGUUAUUCCUGUCUGGAACUUCUCAUUUUCCUUUUUUACCAUCAAUCAACUGUCCCUUUCAUCCUUGGCCCCAUGUUUCACCUAGAAAGGUAUUUAACCUCCCCAACUUUAAUAGCUCCUCAGAGUCCUCCUCUAUCAUGGUGCCACUCGCAGGGGUCAGUGUCCAUAGAGUUCAAUCCUCCACUAUGUGCAGUUGUUUGUGUGUGUGUGUGGCGUGUAGCUGUGUGUCUACUCUAGCUCUGAGGCCUACUGUUGCAUUGAACCCUUUUCCUCUUAAUUAAAGAAUGAUUUUGAUGAAUAGUUUUUAGACCACAUCAAGUGACUGGCACAGUAGGUAGCACAUCAUUCUCACAAGCUUAAAGUCCCACCUUCCUCUGAAGGAGGGUGUGACAUGCUGGAAGAGGCUUCUGGACUUUGGUUUGGGCUUACUCCCUGUCUGAAGUGGAUUGUUAAGUCGGAUUUCCUUUGGGGUGGAUUCUCCCAGGAACAGAAAAGGUAAUUAUCUCUAUGAAUAUGAUCUGUAUCUAGCUUCAGUUCUUCUGGAGUGCCAGUCCUCUAUCACCAAGUAUCUACUAUAUAUUUUCAUCUAAAUGUCUCACUGACAUCUCAAGUUUCUUAUGUCAAAAACUGAACUCUUAUUCUCUCCCCAAUCUACUCCUUUUCCAAACUUCUCUGUAUGUGUCAAGGGUAUCAUCAUUCUUCAAAUCACCUAGUGUCUUAAGCACUGUCCUUUAAGAAAUAUAAACUCUUACCUUAUGCCUUGGAAUUGGAUACUAAAUAUUGGUUGUGAGGCAGAAGAGCAGUAAGGACUAGGCAAUAGGGAUAAGUAACUUAUCAUCUCUCACUUAGUAGCAGUUUCUUAAUUAUGUCCCCAGCCUCAAUAUUAUAUGGGGAUGCUUCAUUAUUCCAAUUCAUCCACUUGUUGACUCAUGAGGGCAGAGAUUCAUGCCCCUCUUAAGCUGUUUAAUCAUCCUACCCAGGGUAAAAUCAUAGAUCACAGAUUUGGAGGUCAUCUGGCCCCUUAUUUUACAGAUAAGGAAACAGACCCAAAGAGGUUAAGUGAUUUGUCAAUGGGUCAAUUUGGGUUUGAAGCUAAACCUAGAUCAUUCUAAGUCCAGAGCUCUACUAUAUCAUGCUGCUUCACCACUAUAAAUGCAUGAUUGCAUACAUAUAUACUUUCAACAGUAUCAAAAAAUCCAUGAGGUUACACCUAAACAAGGAUCCCUUCUACAGUAGUUAACAAUUGCUAACAUUUAUAUAGCGCUAUGCACCCAGCACUAUGCUAAGAACUUUGUGAUUAUCACAUUUCAAAUUUUUGCAUACCAGGUAUAUUAGCAUCUUGAAAGUAUGAUUGGUGUACUGAUAUUGUACCUUAUGUCUUCUUAUACCAGAUUCAUGGUCAUGUUACUUAUUGAUUAUUGUAUUUCCAAAUCUUCAGUCCAAAGGACAUAAGAAUUCCUGAGUGAGACAAUAUUUGCCACAGGGUCCUAGCUCCCACCUGGUUAGACUACAUUCCUUUUCAAGUCACAUGUUUGAUUAACCUCCUUUGAUUGUGAUUGUCAAUUGAGGCAAUGUUAAAACCUAUGCCAUGUCACAUGUUCAUUAGCUACCUCCCACUCCAUAUUCCUAAAUUCUCCAAUAAAAGUAUGAGGACAUGUGUACAGCCCUCUCUCAAUUCUAUCUGAGGGGCAAGCACAAUGGAGCCCAUAUUUUUUAACUCCUUGUCUCUAUUCUUUAUUUAUGUCUUUAUUCCUUUAUGUGUGUGUGUCUCUCUCUCUCAAACUCUUUCUCUAUCCAUUUUCCCUCAGUUACCAAUCUCCUCAGGAGUCCACCCACAAAAAUAUUAAUAUGUAACUGCAGGAGGUUACACAAAUAUUAUCUCAACAAAGUUCCUUUACUUUGGAUUCCGUCUAAGUGGUUACAACUCAGUCAUUAAGUUUUUGGUUCCACUUAAAGGUCAGCAAUCUUACAGGGUUUCAAGAUCGAUCAUCAAAGAGAACACAGAAAAUGUAAUGGCAUUUUUUUAAAGUUGCCAUAGAAUACUUAUUUUACGUUCACUGCUUAUUGUGCAAGUUAUCAUGAAUAAAACACUGGAUAAGUAAGAAUA